UACGUAGGGUGCGAGCGUUGUCCGGAAUUAUUGGGCGUAAAGAGCUCGUAGGCGGUCUGUCGCGUCUGCUGUGAAAAUCCGGGGCUCAACCCCGAACUUGCAGUGGGUACGGGCAGACUAGAGUGUGGUAGGGGAGACUGGAAUUCCUGGUGUAGCGGUGAAAUGCGCAGAUAUCAGGAGGAACACCGAUGGCGAAGGCAGGUCUCUGGGCCACUACUGACGCUGAGAAGCGAAAGCAUGGGGAGCGAACAGG
rnacentral:rRNA from 1 species